rnacentral:rRNA from 1 species
CUACAUGGCCCCUGGAUUGGACUGCGGCCGAUCAGGCAGUUGGCGAGGUAAUGGCCCACCAAACCUAUAACCGGUACGGGCUCUGAGAGGAGAAGCCCGGAGAUGGGCACUGAGACAAGGGCCCAGGCCCUAUGGGGCGCAGCAGGCGCGAAACCUCUGCAAUAGGCGAAAGCCUGACAGGGUUACUCUGAGUGAUUUCCGCUAAGGGGAUCUUUUGGCACCUCUAAAAAUGGUGCAGAAUAAGGGGUGGGCAAGUCUGGUGUCAGCCGCCGCGGUAAUACCAGCACCCCGAGUGGUCGGGACGAUUAUUGGGCCUAAAGCAUCCGUAGCCGGUUCUGCAAGUCUUCCGUUAAAUCCAGCCGCUCAACGGAUGGGCCGCGGAGGAUACUAUAGGACUAGGAGGCGGGAGAGGCAAGCGGUACUCAGUGGGUAGGGGUAAAAUCCUUUGAUCCAUUGAAGACCACCAGUGGCGAAGGCGGCUUGCCAGAACGCGCUCGACGGUGAGGGAUGAAAGCUGGGGGAGCAAACCGGAUUAGAUACCCGGGUAGUCCCAGCUGUAAACGAUGCANACUCGGUGAUGGGCUAGCCUUGUGCCAGCCCAGUGCCGCA